CGCCCCCGCUGCGCCCGGCCUUGCGCGGCGUCAGCGCUGGGAUCCCUGAGCUGUGCGACGCGCAAGCCUCCCAACACGCUGCCUGGUCCCCGGCCCGCAGCCAGCUCUUUGCCUCCACCCCUCGCCACGGUCUCGCAGCGUCCACGAGGGUCGGCUCCUGAAGCUCGGUCCCCAGGGCAGGUCAGGCUCAGGCAUAGCCACAGCACUUCUCCAUCUGCCCUGCCUGCCCUUGGUCUUCACUCCUCACACACUCUCAGCCUAGUGCCUCCCAUCCUCUUAGUAAAAGCUGCAGCAAAAGGUCAGAAGAAGCUUGGAAGCAAAGACACAUCCUUAGCAGCUGCAGCACAUGGAGGAGGCCCCACUGGCCAGAAAUUGGAGAACAGCCAAGAUGGUCCUGUUAAAACCUGAGUCAGAUCAGGUCCCUUCUGGACUCACAAGCUUCCAGUGGCUCCCAACUCACUCAGAGUAAGUAAAGCCCAAUCUUUAAUGCCCUACUGCUAGAUACAGCAUUUACCCCAAACCAUAUCUAAGAAGCAAACCUCCCUCAAUGUAGCAGGGAGAAUCUAUCAUUGAGAUUCCAUGGCAGGAAGGAGAGAACAAAGCCAGGUGGUGCUCUUCAAAACAGAUGACAGAAGAUUUCUCUUCACAGCAGUGAAAACCUCUAAGGUUCUUUUCCUCCAAAGCAAUUGCUUCCCUACUUCUACAUAAUCAAGUAUAGACAAGGGCCUCGAAAGUAUAUAAAUUAUAUUGGUUAAAUAUUGUAUGACCUUGUCUAUAAAACUAUUUGGGCCUGGUGCCUUUUUGGAGUGAUCUUUGCUCCAUGCUUGAAUUUCACAUUUCACACAUUUUACCAAGAUAUGUCUGACUCUAGACUCCUUCUCUUUUUAUCAUUACUACUCUGUUUGGUGUAGCCUUUUAAUCUGGAAACUCAUGCCUUUCUUCAGUUCAGGGAAAUGUUCUUCUAUUAUAUCCUGUUUUCCCCUAGACAGCUGCAUGGAUUCCUCCAUUGCAUAUUCAGGUCUCUGCUCGGAUGCCACCUUAUCACAGACACCUUCCUCGUUCACCCCAUCUAAAACAGCACAUCUGCUGCCCUCAGUUUCCUGGUCUCUGUUUAUUUUGUUUCAUGAUCCUGAUGUUUAUAUUAUUUGUUGAUUUGUUUCUUGCCUAUGUCUCCCACUAGCUGACAAGCUCCUUAAGAGCAUGGACUUGUAUUUUUUUAUUCACUCCUAUAUCCCCAGGACUUGUAUUUUUUUAUUCACUCCUGUAUUCCCAGCACAAUUCCGAAACAUGUUGAGGAAAUGAGAUUUUCUUCCAGCCCAGGUAAAACUGCCAAUGGAUAUGGGGUCUUUGGAGAAGCUCUUCAAGGUCGGGCGCUGUCUUCCACAGCACUGUAGCCACCAAUAUUGUCCUCAUCCCCUGUCCCACUCACACACCUGAGACCUCCAGCCUCCCCACUAGCUCCCACCUGCCUGGGGGUCUGAGCCCAGUCUACUCUGCCAGGAAUCAUUUUGAGGGCCCCAUUCAGUGGCUCAAUGGUCUGUGCACAAAGGGCCCACUGUGGCCAUCAAGCCCUGUGGCCUCCCACAGUGAAUAACUUCUCCUCAUCCUUCCCAAGUGGGAAGCAACAAUUUCCCCUACUCUCAGCUCCCAUGUCUCCAGCCCUGCUUCAAGGGUCUCUGACCAGAGUCCCCUACCUUCUGACCAGCUCUUCCUCUGAGGGCUGGGGUGCUGAAGAGACCCUAUCCAUUCUGGGCUCAGGAAGUGGUUUUGAGCUGGGGGCUAGGGAAUAGGCAGGCAGAAGGGCUGAGGAUGUCCCGGGGCCAGAAAAAACAUACUGCAGGAGGUUGCUCAGGCUGGGCCAGACCCUUUCCCCACCAAGCAGGCCCCUGGUGCUGUGUAGACAAGAGGUUAGGUCUGUUUUGACACCAGGCAACUCAGAUGAGGGUCCAUCCCUCUCUCAUGACCAGUGUCAUCCCCACCCCAGCCCCCCCAGCCCUGAGCACACCUAACUCUGAGGAACAUCAGCCCAGGGACCUGGGGACCUGACAGUCCAAGAAGACACAGAAAAGGGCUGAGUCCUGAGAGCCUCUGACCCUGAUUCUGAGCACUGGCAAAGCCCCAGGGACACCCCCGGUCUGGAGGAUCCAGGAGCAGCAGGAGCUGAGAGCUCCAGCUUCCCCUGGUCCAUGGACACACCAGUGUGGUUCUGGGGUCAAUGUGGUUCUGGGCUCUUUGGCUUCCCCUCAUCACUGUCUCUGCCAUGAACCAUGGUCUCUCUGAAGCCUGACAGAUUCCAGACAGGCAGGCAGCCUGGGCCCCAGCCCAGUGGGGCUGUAUAUGCAUGGCAGCCUGGACUCUGGUUCUUAUGCAGAGUCCCUCACUGCUGAGUGGCCUUGGGCAAAUCAGUUUGUCUCUUAGAGUCUCAGUUUCCUCCUCUGUAAAAUGGGUGCUCAGACCCCUAACCUACUUACCUCAAAAGGUUGUCUGAAUAUAACCAAAGUAAGAGAAAAGGCAUAAGAAAGUACAGAGAUUCAGUAGAGGCUGUUACCAUUCCUUCCAAUAUGUAUUCACCGCUCCUGGACAGCUGUCCCGCCAAUGCCAAGCAUUGCUGUGGACAUGAGAUGCUGCUCAUGCUGUCAGGCCCUCCUGAGAUCCCAGUGCAGAGUAAGGGACCCAGCAGGAUAACGGUGAUGCAGGUGAUAAGGACAAGUGUGAAGGGGGCUAGGGGUUCCACCCUGGGGGGACGUGCUGGGAGCAGCAAGGAACAGCACCGAGGAGCCGGGAGAGACCACAGAGCAGGGCAGGUUAGCUCUGGGGAGUGGGUGUGGGUGUCACUCUCAUGGAAGGCUGUGCCAAGCCCAGGAAAGACUAGAAGCACGGGCAACAGUGGCCACCUUGUCAGUAGGACAAAAGCCAUGGGAUUUUCUGUCCCCUAUUAAUCCAAUUUCAAGCCUCCCAAACUGGUGUUCAGGCCAUUCAUUUGAGCAAUUCUUUUAAAAAUAACACCUGCACAUGUUUUUAAAGUUCAAGCACUACAAAAAGGCAUGAUAUGAAAAGUAAAAUUCUACCCAGCACCAGUGCCACCUACUACUUCUGUGUGUUGUUAUUCUAAGUAAUGUUCCUGAGACAGGCACAGUGACUCACGCCUGUAAUCCCAGCACUUUGGGAGGUCAAGGCGGGCAGAUUGCUUGAGUCCAGUAGUUCCAGACCAGCCUAGGCAACACGGCGGUUUCACCCAUCUCUACAAAAAUACAAAAGUUAGCCAGGCAUCGUGGUGUGUCCCUGUAGUCCCAGCUACUGGGGGGGCCGAAGUGGGAAAAUUGCUUGAGCCCAGGAGGUAGAGGCUGCAGUGAGCCGAGAUUGCAACAGCACACUCUAGCCUGGGUGACAGAGCAAGACCCUUCUCAAAAAAUCAAACAAUAAUAUAAAUAAAUAAAACUAUGCCCAUGUCUUCUGUGUCUGUACAAGAAGCAUAUGGCCCCACCUUGCAUGCCAAAUAAUGUCUGUGCCCCCAGAGGCACGGCUGCAUAGACUGUGAAUAUGUGCCUUUGAUGUCCGAAUGAGUUUGGCCUGUGGGAGGCAUUGCCAAGCUACUGGAGUAUGGGAGGAAUGUGAGGUUCAGUGUGUGCCCCUCGCUGGCUCCCCAUGUGUCACCAUUACUGGCUGUGUCCCUCUACUUAUGGCCAUGGCUUCAUCAGGCAGCCUCUCCUAGAGGUGCCUUAACUCCUAACCCUGCCCAUGUGUCUAUAAAUCUCUCCUGCGUUAAAGGCCCCUCAAUCACCCUGUGGCAGUGUCUGUGUGCCCUGCUGGGGCUGGGCCAGCAUGCAUCAGCAUUGCGGCUAUUCAGACUCUGUCAUAUUUCAAGAUGCAAAUGACAUUUCUUUUCUAAUUUGGACUGGUGCUUUCUAAACCUUUUGAAAAGUCACCUCGGAUUUCUUUUUUUAAUACCAUUGUUUUUAUGGUUAUAAUUGAUUAUGAUUAUGAUUCGGUUUCUUUCUUAUUUGCAGUAUAUCAUCAAGUAAUUUUUUUCAGUAAAAGUGCUUGGAAGAUAACCUUUCUGAGACUCUCCAUGUCUAAAAACAUCUUUAAUUUGCGGUCAUACUUUAUUGAUAGUUAUGAAAUUCUAGAUUCAAAAUGAUUUCUGCUCAGAACUUGAAGGUAUUGCUCCACUGUCAUCUGGCAUCUGGUUUUGCUAUGUUUGAUACUGACUAGAAUUGUAUUCCUUUGAAGGUGCUGUGGUCUGAGUAUUUGUGUUCCCUUGAAACUCACAUGUUGAAAUCCUAACCCCCACCAAGAUUGUAUUAGAAGGUAGGGCCUUUGGGAGGUCACGAGGUCACAUGGUAGAGCCCUCCUGAGUGGAUUUAUGCUCUUAUAAAGGAGGCAUCAGAGAACCCUUCAUCCCUCCCACCAUGUAAGGCCACAGGGAGAAAAUGCUGUCUUAGUCCAUUUGCAUUGCUAUAAAUAAUAUUUGAGACUGGGUAAAUGAUAAAAAAGGCUGGGUGCGGUGGCUCACGCCUGCAAUCCCAGCACUUCGAGAAGCUGAGGCGGGUGGAUCACGAGCAUAAGUUCAAGACCAGCCUGGCCAAUGUAGUGAAACCCUGUCUCUACUAAAAUACAAAAAUUAGUCAGGUGUGGUAGUGCGCACCUGUAGUCCCAGCUACUUGGGAGGCUGAGGCAGGAGAAUGGCUUAAACCUGGGAGGUGGAGGUUGCAGUGAGCCAAGAUCCUGCCACUGCACUCCAGCCUGGGUGACACAGUGAUACUCUCUUGAAAGAAAGGUUGUGGGGGAGGAAAGAAGGAAGGAGAAAGAGAAAGACAGAAAGAGAACACAAGAGAGAGAAAGAAAAAGAAAGAGAAUGAAAGAAAGAGAAAGAGAGAAAAGAGGUGUAUUUGGCUCACAGUUCUGCAGCUUGUACAGGAAACAUGGCGCCCGCAUCUGUUCCUGGUGAGGGUUCAGAAUGCUUCCACUUUUGGUGGAGGUGAAGGGGAAUCAUCAUGUGCAGAGGUCACACAGUGAGAGAGGAAGUGAGGUCAGGGGGAGGUGCCAGGCUCUUUUUAAUAACCAGCUCUCUAGGGAAUACACAGAGAGAGAACUCACCCCCUUUCUCCCAUAGAGGGCACUAAUCUAUUCAUAAGGGAUCCACUCCCUUGACCCAGACUCCUACUGCUAGGCCCCACCUCCCCAUUUCCACAUGAGAUUGGGAGGGGAGGGUCAAACAUCCAUCUAUGGCCAGCACCAUCUAUGAGCCCGAGAGUAGGCCCUCACUAGGCUGAAUCUGCCUGCUCCUUGAUCUUGGACUCCCUGGACUCCAAAACUGACAGAAAUACAUUUCUAUUGUUUUUAAACUACCCAGUUUAUGGUAUUUUUGUUAUCAUAGCUUUAGUGGACUAAGACAGAGGCUACCUGUUUUUUUCCUCUCUCUAAGACGCUUUUGGGAUCUUCUCUUUAUCCUUGAUGAUCUGAAAUUUUAUGGUGACUUACCUUGGUGUUGGCUUCAUUUAUUCAUUCUUCUAUUUGGUCAUCAUGUGAAGGAGAUUUCAUGCUUUUAUUUAGCUCUGAACAUUUUUUCUAUUACUUUUUGGGUUUUAGUUUUUUCUUGCAUUCUCAUUUCCCAGUCCCCUGUGCUCCGAGGCCGGCCACCUCACUCUCCCAUGCUCCAAGUCCAUCUCACUGGUGCUUUAUCCACUCGAGCACUGUCAUCCACAAGUCCAGCGGAGUUUCCUUGGAGUCCUGUGACCUAGGCGCUCCCCACCUUGGCCACCUGUAAGUUUUAGCGACCCUCUCAAGCAGCGCCCUGGCGCGGGGCUCUCCACUCCCAGGCCUCCACUGGGCUCUGAGUGAGCCAUGAAGCAUGCUAGGCAGGUGCUGUUCCCUCCGCUAGACCGUGAGCACUAUGGCAGUGGUAACCAGGCCUGUGUUGUCUGCAGACCCCCUGCCACCAGCACAAGGCCAGGCCCCAGGCACAGACACACUGUCUGAGUGCCUGGUCUAGAGCAGAUACACAGCAGAUAUGUAUUUGGGGAGGGGGCGCUCUCGGGCACCUCCUAGCCAUUGGCCAGCCUCCCUCGCUCUGGCCUGAGCUUCCUUCCUGCUCCUUCAAGAAUCCUGUUGGCUGUGGCUCCUAUUCCAAGGCCACUCUCCAGCCCCAGGCUCAGAGACAACCAUCCCUAGCUCAAGCACACUUCAGUUCAAACCAGUCCAACCCACAUUUGUCUAAGGGGAAAUGGAGUUGAUAGGCUGGAGUAAGUGGAGCCUCCAAGGUGGUCUCCAGGCCCAGCUAACACCAGGGUCUCUGCUGCCAGAGGGACCCUGCUCCUCGGCUUCUUGGUCUUACUUCACUCUACAUGGGGCUGUCUCAGCAGCUCCAGGCUUCACUGCUUGGUGCUGAUGGGCCCAACAGGGGUCCUGGCCAGCUGCUGGCUGAUCCUGCUAGUGUCAUAUGCUCAUCUCUGACCCACUCGUUGUGGCCAGGGGCAAGUGGGUCACUGGCAGCCAGGCCUGGGCCAGCCCUGGAAAGGGAGAAGAGUUGGCCUUGCAGAAUCUCACAGAGAGUGGGGAGGGAAGUCCCCAGCACAAAACCAGAGUGUUGUCAUUGUUACCAGAAGGGAACAGGGGGACACUGGUGAACAUACAGCCCGCCCCACCUCCCUGACUGCAGAGGAGGAAGCAGAGGGCACAGCAGCUCACUCGAAGCAGUGCUGGGUCCUCAGCAGAGCAGAAUUCAUACCCAUGUUUCCCCGCCUGCAGUCAUGCUGGUUCAGGGCUGGGCCUCCAAGGAUGUAGGACUUUAUCACAGAUGUGGGUAGGACUCAAGGUCCAGGGCUGUGAUACAGGCUGGUCUUCCAGGAGAGGCAGAGAUUUGGGAAGGAGGCAGCAUCCAGACCACCCUGGUGGAGCCAGCUCUGGAAGGGGAUGGCAGUAAGCAGCCUAGGAAUUCCUUCCACCACUGACACCCUCAGCCCGGUGAGGGGCUUCGGUCUGGCAGAGUUUCCCAGAUCCCAAGCCUCACAUCUUUGCCUCUGCCUUUAAUUGUCCCAUCCUCACUGCAAAUCACCUCACAGCCCUGUCUGGGGGAACCUUCUUUGGUUAGUGGCACACGUGGGGUACACUUCACAGCUAACAAAGGCCUUUGCAGAGGCCACCUGAGCCCUCAGGACAUGCUGAGAGGCCAUAUUCUGCUCUCCGCUCUGUAGAUAAAGACAUGCUAUUCAUGUCUUCAUCUACAGCAAGGCCCCAGGGCUGCGCGGAACACUUGCCUCUCAGAACCAUGCUGGCCUGUCCCAGUUUCCCUGAGCUGUGACUGAGCCCAUGGCAGGGGCCAGGACACUGCCCACUUCAAGGCUCCUGUGAAUGAGGUGCGGGGCUUUGUAGGGCGGCCUAAACCACCGCACCGUGAGUGCUGACCAGCCAGGCCCUGCUGUUCAUUGCAGCAAAAACUACUCCCAACCCAGAAAAUGACAAGGUAGUGGGGAUUUGGGAGAAUCUGCUACCUCCUCUGUAGAGAAGCUUUGAGACCCCAAAAAGGGGGAGGAUAUAGAGAGGGACCCCUUAUAAGGCAGGAAAUGGAAGCCUGCAGGAAGAGCUGGGUCAGGACACAGCUGAGGCACAUGGAGGGCAGCACUGCCUGGCACCCACUUGUCCCCACAUUGGCUGCCACAGGGUCCUUACUGUCCUUGCACCCACAUGACUGUAGGAGGCUGCUUCCCCCUGGCCUGGGAGUGAGGAGCAGAGGGUCAGGGUCCUGGAGGUCCCAGCAGUGACCAGUGGCUAGGUGGGCACAGGCCAGCCACUGUGAGGAGCCAGAACACAGUCCUCAUGCUGGCACAGAGACAUAAAAGAUCAAUGUCUUAAAUAGGAGACAGUCUCUCUGCCCCUGGCCUCCUACCUGCUGAGUGUCACAGAUGGGGAUGUCGACCCAGUGCAGGGGCCCAGACUCCCACCUGUGGCUCUGCCAUUGCUCAGUCACAGCCCUCACUCAUGUGGCCCAAGAUGACUCAACCAUACACGGGCUCCAGACCCUGGAGAGAGGAAGGAGGGAGGGAGGGCACAGUACUGCUCUAUAAGGGAACCUGGCAGAAGGAGCCACUAUCAGCCCAGGGUGUGAUGUCUCUCUGCCAGUGGGUUGGGAGCCCAGAGACCUGCAAGCUAAGCCCUGCUCUAACUGGCUGCAGAGAUCUGAGCACGUCACCACCCGCCACUGGUCUCUGUUUUCUCCUCUGCACCAAGAGUUUAGCCAAAACAACCCUUGGGGGUCUUGAGUGGAGGACUCUUAACUUACAACUCUUUGGGGGCAGAUGGGAGAAUGCCUUAGGGAAGGACAGAUGGUUUGGGUUGCUAGGGUUCCCUGGCUGUGGCAUGAGGCAGCGGCCUGGCCAUGGAUAUAGCCCUGGAACUUCCAAGCUUUCUUGGAAAAACAUCUGUGGACCACCAGAUAAUACAAUGGGCAACAUUACUGAGUGCUUCCUGUAUCCCAGGCACAUAGCUCAGAGCUAACAUUCGAGCAAUUACUGAAUGCUGGACACUGUUCCGAGUGCUCUACAAAGUCCACCUCACCUAACACAUCAUCUCCCUUGAGGUAGGGGCUAUUGCUAUUGCCAUGGGCAUAGUGAACCUGUAAAACAAGAACAAGCUGCCAUGAAAAAGGAGCACUCAGAAAAUGAGAGAUGAUUCCUGGAAAUGUAAUACUUGAUGGUAUCCAUGCAAACUCAGUCCAAAGACUGAACAGCAGAAUGGACAUACGCAAGGAGCCAAAUAAAAAUGACAGAUGGAAAUCAUGGGAAUAUUCCACAGCCAAAGCCUUAGUGUCCAUGGGAAAGGCACUGAGUUCCCAUUCAGAAGGGAAGACAGGUCCAAAUCACCUCCCCAGCCCCAGCCUGUCCUCCCCAGCUGAAUCUGGCUGGUGGGCAUUGAUGGGUGACAGGGAGUUAAUGAGUCACUCCUGCCUGGUUAAAGUCCUCAAAGUUUAACGCAUGUUUUUCAGGCCAACCUUGGGCCUGAAGUUCCUAUCCCCUUUCCCCAAGGUGCCUGUCCCGUAAAUCCAGCAGGCUGGGGUCACUGGCUGUCACUCAGCUCCAAGCUGUUCACAAGGAACCAAGGGGGGGCUAUGGCUCAGCACAUGAGGGUAAGCUUCACACACAAGGAGGGGCCUCAGAGGGCAAUGAGAUGGCACCAUCUACCCAGCAUGAUGCCAGGCACUUCCACACUGUCAGGACAUCAGCCCAAGUAGAGUGAAGACAGAGCAUGCAAACGUCCUGUCCUUGCACUGGGAAACCUUCAACCUCAUCAUUGAUCAAAGAAACACAAAUGCAAACAUGAUAUUAUUUUAAUCCUACUGACAGGGCUAUUCUAGAGUUAUAACACUGUUGGAAAUAGGUUAAAUAGGUACAUUUCCAGAAAAUGACCUUGCAUGAUAUGUAGAGCCCUGAGCCAGUAAGUCUAUGUUCAGAAACUGAUUCAAAGAAAUUCAGAUUUGCAGCCAGAUUUAUGCACAGACUUGUACUUUCCAACAUGACUUGCCAUUGAGAAAAAAUGAAAACUGGUUGAUGACCAACAGAUGGAAAACUGGCCAUAAACUAUGUCCCGUGUACCCCAUGGAACAUCAUUUAACUGUUUAGAUCAGGUUUUUAAUACUACCUCAUGAAAAUUAAAAGUCUGUAUGGUAGUCCUAUCUAGGAAUUAUUCUAGAUAUGAUUAUGCAAGGAAAAUUUAUUUAUAGAAAAAAUGAAAAAGAAAUCAAUAAGAAAUAUUUAAGUGAAUGAUUUUUCAAAUAUUUAUGUUGAAUAGUGGGAUUACAAGUGCUCUUUCUUUUUAGCAUUACAUAUGUCACUUUUUCAGAUUUUUUACAAUGAACAUAUUAUAAUUUUACUUUUAUAACCAGAAAAAAAUAUGGUUUGCUUUAUGCUUGUUUUGUGUGUUAUUCUGCAAUAGUUUUUCUGUAAAUUUACUCACUGACCAAAGUAUCAGAAUAUACAGACAAGUAUAAGAAGAAAAAAGUUAUUGAUAACCAUAUUAUUGUUAAUAUUUUCUGGCUAUAUUACAAAAAUGGGAACACAUCAUACAUAAGUGUUUCAGAGGCUUUUUAAAAAAUUAUGGUUAAAGACACAUUAAAAAAUGUAGCAUCUUAACCAUUUAUGAGUGUACAGUAGGGUUAAGUAUAUUCACAUUGUUGUACAACCAAUCUCCAGAACAUUUUCAUCUUGCAAAACUGAAACUCUGUCCCCAUUAAACCAGUUCCCAUCCCUCCUCCCCCAGCCCCUGGCAACCACCAUUGAACUUUCUGUCUCUAUGAAUUUGACUGCUCUAGAUACCCCAUAUAAGGGGAAUCGUUCAGUAUGUGUCCUUUUGUGUCUGGUUCAUUUCGCUUAGUGUACUGUCCACAAGGUUCACCCAUAUUGUAGCAUGUGUCAGAAUUUCUUUCCUUGUCAAAGCUAAAUCACAUGCCACUGUACAGACCACAUUUUGUUUAUCCAGUCACUCAUUGAAGGACACUUGGGCUGCUUCUGGAGCUUUUUUAAAACAGAACAAUAUAUUGGUAUAUCAUUUCUAUAUUUUUUUCUAUGGCAAUAAUAAUCCAUUAAUAUCAAUCACCUUUAAAGGUUGCCCAGUGAUCCAUAGAGGUAGAUGCUUUGUAAUUGAUUCAGCCAAUCCACACUUGGAGAACAUGUAUAUUAUUUCCAGUUUUUUACUCUCAUAUGCAAAACUGCAAUACAUGGUCCUGGGGCAUAUGUCUUUGUAUGUUGGUCCUCCUAUCUGUUAAAGAGAAUUUCAAAGUGGGGUUUGUGCAUCAGAUGUUCUCGGGUUAUUUGUGACCCUGUUGCCCUCUGAACCUUACAUUCAUGCAGACCUCUGCAUCCAUGAUUUGCUGUCCUCAUGGUCCUUGUCACCACUGGGUGGCCUCACUUUAAAAACUGACACUUCUUUCUGUCAAUUUUUGUCUAUAUGACAGGUAAAAAAAAGUCAUUGUAUUCAUUUACAUCUCCUUGAUAAUCAGUAAAGUGGAAGGUUAAUUCAUACUGUUGAAAUAUUAAACAGGCAGAUGGGCUUUCCUUGUGUAGGGCCUGUUCGGGCCUGUGCUUCCUAGAGGAGUCUUGCCCAUUUCCUUGCUGAGGUGCACGAACUGCUUGCCUGGGAAAGACCCUCACACCCUGCCUGGAUCUGCAGCCAGCAAUUGUUUUGGAGUUGCAGAAUUUGUUGUAUUUCCAUAGUUGUAUUUCCAAAUGUAGUGAUGGAUUCUGCCUUUGGUGUCCUAUUUAGAACCCCUCUGCUUCAAGGUUUUAUGUGUAUCUAGUCACAUUUUCACUGAUGUCACAUGGUCAUGCUCACCUGGGACUGUCAUGGUUUAAUGUUAUCACCAACCGCUUUCAUGCAGCUUUAAUUUAGUCUGACGGCCAUGUGCUGAGGUCAGAUGUAAGAUGUGUCUAAAGCCAUCACCAGGCCAGCCCCGGUUGCCCGCCUUCCCUCAGCACCAUCCCCACAAUGCGUGAGACCUUUACACUGUCCCCACCUGCAAGAAAAGAAAGACCGUCUGCCACCCAAGACUGAGCCUCUCUGCACAGACUUGUCUGGAGGCCUUUGCUGUUUACAGGAGGACCCAGGAGAAGAUACCAGGUGUGGGGGUCCUGUGGCUGGGAUUCCAGGCACCACUGUUUUCCCUAGUAAUGGAGGAGCCACCAUGGGAUGAGGGGCUCUAUGCCUCCCCAACAGUCGGAUCAGUGAGUACCUGCUCCCCCCAUGCCCGGAGAUGAAUCAUUAUCGGUACUAUCAAACUGCAGCCAGUCGAUUGCAAACCCACUGCCUCCUUCAGUCCUCACAGGAGGCUUUGCUGCUUGAGUUCUAGGGAAGGAGCUGAGAGAACCCAAGAACACAGAGGGACUUCGGUGACAUAGCCACAGAGCAUAGAGGUAGGGCCAGGCUCUCACAGCAGCUGCCACUGCACUUUCUGCUUCAGGGACAGCCAAGCCCCGGCUGUCAGGUGGGAGCCUUGGUAGACCCUGCAAGCUGUCAGGGCUGCCUGGGCAGACUGAGGAGCCAGGCCAGGCACACCAGGGCAGAGAGCAGGCAAGGAGUUUGUAAGCCUGAAACCCGGGACCCUCAGCUGUCCCUAUCCAUACCCGAUCCUGGAUCCCAGCCCCCAGCCCCCAGCCCAGAGCCCAGAGCAUGCACAUUCCUGGGAGGUUCUUCCCUGACAUCCCCCUGUUCCUGGCUACAGACAUAGUUCAUACACUCAUCCACCCAACAGGCAUGUAUUGAGUACCUACUGUAUGACUGGUACUGUUCUGGCAACACAGCCAUUCCCCACAGAGGUGGGGGCCUACCUUCUGGGAUUUUGUACUCCAGUGUGGGAUAUACAAGGGGCUCUGUGCAGGGAUUAGAGUAGUCUCAGUGGUACUAAGUGCUAGGACAGCUCUUUGUGGAGGCCCACGGCAUCCCAGCCCAGCCUGAGCCAGGCCCAAGGGCAGGGAGCACAGCACAGUCUUUGUCCUCCUGAACAUUCCAACCAGACAAGCAGGGAGGCAGAGGGAAGCUGCUUCAGGUGGGCUGCGUGGGGAGGGCCUCUUCACAGAGGUGCUGCUGGAGCUGAGAAGGAGCUGUCUUGAGAGGAGCCAGGGAAAGGUGAGCCGUGUGAAGGCGGGCUGGGGUGGGGAAGUGCCUGCACCCCAGAGGUUCUGCAGGAUGCUGAGGCUGAGAGCAGCAGUGGGAGAUGAUUGGGAGUUGUGGAAGCUUCGAGGAGGGCCGGGGGUCCCAACAGGCAGGACACGUCCCACAGUGAGCAAUCACCUGGCUCAAUCCACAUGUGUCUUCUGGCAAUGCAAGCAUCACACCAUGAUUCUUGCAGGCUCCUGUGGUGGUGUAAGCCCCAGGGCACAGCUUCCAUGCAUCUCUGCCCUCCUUCCACAAAGCAGGGGUGCAGCCAUGCAGCGAACCAUCCUGACUCACGGAGGGGCAGCAACUGGCAACUCAACAACACUGUUAUAGACCAGAGUAAAGAUUUUUGUUUGUAUUCUCAGAGCCACGGGAAUCCACUGACAUGUUUCAGCAAGAGAGAGACUAGAUCCGGCUUCAGUGUUUUAAAAGAUUGCUCUGCUGCCAUGUGCAAAAGCGCUGCUGAGCACACCCAGGCACACCAUGGUGCAGCUACAGUAGCCAAAAUGUGGAGGCACCUGAGUGUCCAUCAGUGGAUGAAGAAGCCAAAUGUACUCUGUCCACACAGUGGAACGUGACCAGCCUUAGGAAGGAACUUUGUCAGUGCGCAGCAUGGAUGAACCUUGAGGACACGGUGCCGACAGAAAUAAAGCAGGCACAGAAGGACAAGUCCUAUGCGAUUCCUCUUUUUGCGAGGUCACUGGAGCAGUCAGGUUCACAGACACGGAGAGUGGAAUGGUAGUCACCAAGCUUUGGGGGAGUCUGUGUUUAAUGGGGACACUUACAGUUUUACAAAGGGAAAAAUUCCUGUGGACGGAUGGCGGUAAUGGUUGCACAACAGUGUGAAUGUGCUUAAUGCGCUGAACUGUUCACUCAAAACUGAGGAAGACAAUCAUUUCACUUAUGGGAUUUUACCACAGUUUAAAAUAAAACAAAGACUGUCGGGAGGUAUCAGGCGGUGCCCCCCGAGGAGAGGCCAGCACACUAGAGCAGGCCGAACAGAACAAAUGUCAUACCAGGGCCCGUGACAGAGGCAGGUAGGUUAGAAGGUGGAGUUCCCAGAGCCCCAGGAAUGGAGGCUCCCACCCCAUCCAGAGGCCUGGAGGAGCUGCGGGCAGGAGCUGUGGGCAAGGCAGAUAGGUGGAUGCACAGGAGCCACCCAACAGGCACUGCUGGAACCUCGCCCAGGCAUAGGAGAGGCAGCCAGGUGCCCUGAGCUCUCUCUGCUGCCCCAAACCCAGCGUGACCGUGCCUCCUAUUGAUGGAAACAAACCAGAAGUUGGUGUGGGCUGUCCUAGAGAUCAGCCUCAGGACACUGGGGGCCAGGACAGGGCAGCCCAGGGAGAUGAGCAGCACAGGAGACAGAUGGGAGCCAAGGGAGUGGCGGCUCUACCUGGUAGUGGCCAUGGAGAUGCAAAUGGCCUUGAGCACAUAUUUUGGAGACAGAACCUCAGGACUAGGAACGCUGGACAUGGUUGAGAAACAGGUUUUGUUUUGCCUUUCUUUGGUAACUCUGAAAAGCAAAAGGUGCUAGAGAGAGGCAGGGUGGAGUGAAGAGAGACCAGGUUUCAAGGCAGACAGGCCUGGAGCCACGAGGCUCCAGCACAGACCUGAGGGCAGGGAUGUUCACGGUAUCUAACCGCGGGAGGGCCCAGGUGCUGCAGAGGGAUGGGGCGGAGAUGUCCCCCGUUACUGGCUAUGGGACGCCCAGAGAUCCCCAAGGAGGGCCAACAACUACAGUUGCUGGGAGUUGGGGCAUCUGGUGGGUUCAGGCAGUGCCCUUUACCCAGGCUGGAAUAUUUUCCUGGCUGCUCCAUCCAUGCCAGGGUCUCCUGGGUGUGUCACCAGAAGAGUGGGGAAGUCAUGCUCAUAUAUUCUAAAGACAAGGGAAAGACUUAGUGGUGGCCCAUGGGCUUAGGCCACCACCUAGAGCCUAUAGGAAACAGGAAGAACUGGACACUCCUCUCUCCCUGCCCUGCCUGCUCUGGGAAAGGGCUCUGGGAAGGGCUGAGUCUGCACUUCGCACAGUCUCUACAUGUCACUGGUCAGGCCAGGGCUGUUUCCAGCUGCUCAUUUAGAAAAGUGUAGUCAGAACUGUCAAGAAAAUCAAUGAAGACAAGAAUAAAAUAGAAAAGGAAAGGUAAGAACACAGCAGAGCUCAUCACGGUGCAAGGGAGGCGGUGUCCACUCUCCUUUCGGACUUAGGACAGAGAAUGAGUUUCUGAAUUCUGGUUACAACCUUGUAGUGCCUUGAGAAGUUGCUGUGUUUGUGGGCAAGGGUCUCGGCUUCUCUUUGCCAUCUGCACCCAGCGCCCUGCACCCACUCUCCUGACCUAGCCCCCCAACCCCCUACCUGAGAGCUCUCCCUCUCCCUCUAGCUUUUGCCUCCCCUGGCUCAAUGCAUCAUCCUACAGUGCUGAGUCCUGAUGUGAGGACCACAGGGGCAGAAUCAUGCUGAACCUCUAGCCCCUUUCCUUCUGCAAUGCCAGGAUGUGCCAGCAGCCCUGCACCAGCUCUGCCUCCUCCUGUCAGGCGGUCAUCCCUGUGGGCCAGGCCCUCUACUCUGCUCGGGGUCACCAGAGGUUCUCUGGGCCUGCCCAGGCCUGUGGAUCAUCCUGCCUGGGAACAGUCAGCCACCUUCCCCCACCAGCCUCAGGCCAUCCUCAUUCCUCAAGGCCUUGACCGCUUCAGCCACCUAGAAAUGGGCCUUUAUCUGGUCCGGGUCCUGGCUGGGACUUUUGUUCCAUGCCUCUGGCUACUUCUUGCAAAAGCAAAUGUUUCUCAUACAGCAUUGGGCACUUUGCCACUGUUGGAGAGGCCAGAAAAAUUCAGGGGCUCGAAGGGCUAGAGCCUCAGAAGUCAGAUGUGGUCUGUGGUCUCUGCACUCGGGAGUGCGACUCUUCCCAUGCAAUGACUUGAGAACGUGUGACUGUAUCAGAUUCAGCUGGCGGAUUGGCAGGAAGGUUAAUAAGACAGUCUUGAGUUUCACUCCCAGACAGGCGGAGCCAGGGACCCAGGAAUCUGCAUUUGCAGGAGACACUCAGCUAAUUCUGAAAUUCCUAGUUCAGUCAAUCUUCAUGCAGAGUCACGGUUGUGUGCCAACUAUUGUCGGGUAGUCAGGCCGUGUCCAUGAACAGACGAUGACUUCUGACUUCAGGAAGUUUGUAUUCUGUGAGGGGAAGGUAGAAAGCAAGAGAUAGAUUCAGGCAGUAAGUGACAGGGAGUGUCAGAGGGAAAGAUGAGAAGUGAUCGUGGACAGUGGCAGUGCUGGGGGUGUCAGGCUAGAGCCGUGGGCUGCAAUGUGGAGCAGGCUGGUGAGAGCAGCCCUCACUGAGAAGGUGACUGAAGUCUUGGAGGUGGAGUACGGGGAGAGGAAACAGGUCGUGCAAGGGUCUUGAGGCUGUGCAAGGGUCCUGAGGCAGCCUAGUGUAACUGAGAGGCAGAAGGAGCCAGUACGGCUGCAGUGGCACAGGGAGAGUGAAGAGAGGGUGAGGCCAGAGAGCCUGUGGGGGAUGUGACACUGAGUGAGUUUGAGCUGUUGGAGGGUUUUGAGCAGAGAAAUGACGUGGUCUGACAUGUCUUCAGAGGACCCCUCCCUCUUGGCCCACCAAGAACAGAAUCUGGGUAUAGGGUCGGGGAGGAUAAAGCAGAAGCCAGAGACCAGCUGGAGACUUUCUGUAACUAGGGCAAGGGCGUGUGAGACGAGUGACAGCCACAAUUCGAAUCUAACAGGAUCCUGCCUGGGAUGGACUGCUCAGCUGGGCCAAGUUCUAUUCCAAGUGCUUCCCCAGUAUUAACUCAUUUAAUGCUUACCCAGCUCUGUAAGCAGGCACACUCAUUGUCCUGUUGUAUAGAGAAGGAUAUGGAGGCACAGAGAGGGUGAGUUACUCACCCUGGGCCACACAGCUAGAAGAUGACAGAGCCAGGAUUUGAAUCAAGUAGUCUGAAGCCAGAGCCCAGGCUCUUAAAGAGCCACACUUUUCCAACAGAAAAGCACAAGCCAUAACCUGAGGGAGGGUGUUUGUUGAGAAAAGAAAACACUGGGCCCUGGAUCCAGGAGGGGCCAUCAGAGGGACAAGAGGGCCACUCCAGUCUGACUUUGGGUGGUCCCGACUGUACCUCUCCUGGCAGUUUGGGCUCUGGCAGGUCCCUGGGCCUCCCCAUGUCUCCAUUUUCCCUUGUGGGAUUUGGAGCCAUGACGAGGCUGCCUGGUGGGGGUGGCAGGGGCAAGGGAUGGGCUGGGCACCAGGUGCUCAGGAAGGUGCCUUAGCCCGGCCAUCCCCACAGCAAGGGCCAGAGGUGGCCUGACGAGCAAGAGAGGCAGGGCUGGGGAUGGGAUGGCCUGGCAGGGGCUGGGGAGCCCUGGGCCCCAGGGCCAAGAGGAGCCAUGACAGGCAGGAGUGGCCACAGCAGUGGAGCUAUGUCAAGGGUCUCCAGGGGGACAGUGGCCUCCCAGGAAGCAGAGGAAGCAGGGGUGGAGGCCCCAGACACAGAGGCCUGCUCAGAGGCUGGCCGGCGAGUGGACUUCCUGGGCCUGAACCUCUCUAGGCUCUGUUUCCUCAUCUGUAGAAUAGAGGAGCAAAAUGCUGGCUCUACCGGAAAUCCUCCUGGUCAGGAGGACGCGGCUAGCAGGACACGGCCUCCUGCUGCAAACACCAGACAUGCUCUGCCGGCUGGGAACCUGCCCCUGUGGUGCUGUGAAACACGAAAUCCGUCUGUUUUGCUCUUUUCCCCCAAGGGUUCUGGUCCCUCCAAGGCUGUAAAUCUGAAGCUUGCAUCUUUGGAAGUAACUUUUAUUUUCUGCCAGGAAGCUUCUGGGGGUUGGCAUUUUUCUCCGAGAUGCGUAACAAUGCCCCAGCUGUGGCUGCUGCCGAGCUUUCAUGUGCAUUUUCCUCAGUUCAGAGGAGGGUGCUCUCUAACCCCAGCCGGCUUCUUCACUCCCCUGUGGGAUCGUAGCUGGUACAUUUCAACCAUGUGUUUUGCCCUACAGGGGAAGUCCUCUGCUAGCUAUGUGGAGUGCCAUCCUUCCCAUGGUGCAUCUGGAGUCUUUGUCAAGUUCAUCUCCCAUGUUCACAAAUCCAUCAGUUUUCCCAGGGUUGUGGCUGAACUCUAUGGGUGUUUCUUUUCAUCCUCCCUACUGAUGUGCAAUGGGUUUGAGGCCUACUUUUCUCUCACUGAGUAAUGAGAUCCAUCAUCUUCUGAUACUUGCUCCUGACUCACCCAGUGCACGUGUUCCUAGCAGAGAAAGAAGCGUUUUCUCUUUGCUCUCAUUGAAUCAUUUCUCUGAUAACCGCCUGUGUGCCAGGCACUAUAUCAUGCCCUGAGGUAUGCCUUUCCCAAGCGACCUCAUCAGUGUUUGUGGCUUUUAUUCCACCUGUUGGGUAGUGACUUCCAAAUCUCUGACUCCUGCCAGGAUCUGUCCGCUGAAUUCCAAUCACGAAUCCAGCCACCUCUCUGCUACCUCUGUGUGGGUGUCUCUCAGGCACUCUCCCACGCUAGCAGCCUCACCCCUAAUAUUUGUGAAACCCAGGGCAAGAGUAAAAUGGAGUCUAUGGCCCUUCCCUUCCUGCCCUGGCCCCAUUUAGAGCUACUAAGGUCUCACUCACACAUUUGCGGACACCCCAGGCUGAGUCCAUGCUGUGUCCACAUCGCCACCGCACCCCUUGGCUUCUCCUGGGCCUAAGGGGGUGCAGACUCCAGCACUGGGGAUGAGUAGCAGAGGCUGGUGCAGAUCUUGAAGACAGGCUCCUAGUUGUCUGCACAGGGGACUCUGAAGUCCAGAAACCCGACUUUUUCUCCAACACUCUCACCUCAUGACCCCAUGCCUGAUGCAUGGCCUUCUCCUACAAAUUCCCUUUCAUCUCUUCCCUCCCCAGUGCCUCCAUCUUGGUUCCAGUCCUCUCCUCCCUAUCCAGACCACAGAGCAGUGGCGUCCAUAUGGACCAUUGUCCCCGCAAUUUGCUUGGAUUUUUAUAAUGUUAAUUAAGUUGUCACUCAGUGGUUUUCCAUUGUAUGUGGAAACACACAGACUCCUCAUCAUGACCUCAAUGGCCAGAAGGCCUUCUAAAGAGCUGCCACUGAAGGUGAAGUCUAAGGGCCAAUGGAGAGCUGGCCAGUGGGCCUAGAGCGGUGGCUCAUACCUGUAAUCCCAACACUUUGGGAGGCUGAGGCAGGUGAAUCACCUGAGAUUUGAGACCAGUCUGGCCAAUAUGGAAAAAUUCCAUCUCUACAAAAAAUACAAAAAUUAGCCAGAGGAGGUGGCACAUGCCUGUAAUCCCAGCUACUUGGGAGGCUGAGGCAGGAGAAUCACUUGAACCUGGGAGGUGGAGGUUGCGGUGAGCCAAGAUUGCACCACUGCACUCCAGCCUGGGUGACAAAGCAACUCUCUCUCUCUCUCUCUCUCUCUCUCUCUCUCUCUCUCUCUCUCUCACACACACACACACACACACACACACACACAGCUGGCCUGGCAAGAUCAGGGUGACUGAGGCUCUAGAAGGGAAGAAACAAGACUGACAGCCCAGCCAUAGGGACCCUUGUGGUCACCAAACCCGUCCUCUUGCUCUGCUGCAGUCCCAUGGGCCAGGGCAGAUGCAGUCUGGCCUUAAUUCUGUGCAGCUCCUCCUAUGCAGACAUGGAGUCUUCCAUCCCCUUGGAUAUGGGCUGGCCUGUGACUUGCUUUGGUCCAUAGUUUGUGGCAAAAGCCAAGUUGAACCUCUCUGAGAUGCAGUCUGGUCAACAUGGUGAAACACUAUCUCUACUAAAAAUAUGAGAAUCAGCUGGGUGUGGUGUCAGGCACCUGUAAUACCAACUAUUCAGGAGGCUGAGGCAGGAGAAUUGCUUGAACCUGAGAGGCGGAAGUUGCAGUGAGCCAAGAUCACACCAUUACACUCCAGCCUGGGCAACAAAAGCAGAACUCUGUCCCUCCCACCAAAAAAAAAAAAAAAAAAAAGGAAGAAGAAAGUGACUGCCAGGUGUGGUGGCUCACGCCUGUAAUCCCAGCACUUUGGGAGGCCAAGGCAGGUGGAUCACAAAGUCAGUAGUUCAAGGCCAGCCUGGUCAACAUGGAGAACCCGGUCUCUACUGAAAAUACAAAAAAAUUAGCCAGGUGUGGUGGUUGGUGCCUGUAAUCCCAGCUACUCAGGAGGCCGAGGCAGGAGAAUUGCUUGAAUCCGGGAGGCGGAGGUUGCAGUGAGCCAAGAUCAUGCCACUGCACUCCAGCCUGGGUGACAGAGAAAGACACCGUAUAAAAAAAAAAAAGAAAGAAAGAAAGUUUUUGGCAUCCAUCCACAGGGGUUGUAAAGAUUAAUGACAAUAAUAUAAAGAAUGAAACAGCUGAAAAUGACAAUAGAAUAAAAUAGGACCCAGACACAGGCCAUGGAGAUACAUAUAUGUAUAUAUAUACACAAACACAUACAUACGUAGAUGCUUAAUAUAUGGCACCAAUAAAAAUGCAUACCAGAGGGGAAAGGAUAGACUUUUUAUUUGAGAUGGAGUCUCACUUUGUCACCCAGGCUGGAAUGCAGUGGUGCAAUCUUGGCUCACUGCAACCUCCACCUCUUGGAUUCAAGUGAUCCUUGUGCCUCAGCCUCCUGAGUAUUUGGGAUUACAGGCAUGUGUCGCCACGCUUGGCUAAUUUCUGUAUUUUCUGUAGAGACAGGGUUUCGCCACGUUGGCCAGGCUGUUCUCAAACUCCUGGCCUCAAGUGAUCUGCCCAUCUCAGCCUCUGGGAUUACAGGCAUGAACCACCGUGCCUGGCCCCAGGAUAGAAUUCUUUAUAUAUGGCAGGCAAUUGCUUACCCAAAUGGAGAAAAAGUGAAAUCACACUUCCACUUCUGGCUCAUACUGUGCACAAAAGUAAUUUCCAGGUGAAUUAAAGACCAAACUAUAACAGGCAAAUCUGUAAGGUUUUUGGAAAAUGAAGAUAUAUAUCUGACAAAGGACAAGUAUCUGCGGGACAUAAAGCACUCCUGCAAAUCAGCAGGACAAAGACAAGUAACCCAAUAGGAAGUGCACGAGACUUCAAGAGACGCUUCAAAAAAAGAGGAAAGCUCAGAGCCAAUAAGCAGGUGGGAAGAUGUUUGGCCUUACUGUCAACAGGGACAUGCAAAUUAAAGCCACAAUGAGGCAGGACUCUCCCAACAGAGCGGCAAAAAUGGAAAGGCUUGGCAAUAGAGUCUCGUCAAAGAAGUAAAUAGAAGUCUCCACUGGUAGAUUGUAAUAAGUACAAGCAGUUUGGAAGACAGAGUGAUGUUAUCUAGCAACACUGAACACAUGUACCUCUGAUGACUCAGCAGGUUCACUCGAGAGUUUGUGCUCAAGAAAAAUCCUUCUUUCUGCGCAUCAGGAGACAUGUGCACAAUUGGUUUUAGAAGCAUUUUUUUUUAAAAAGGAAAAAACGGGACACAAGCCAAUGUCAUCAACAGUAAAAGGAACAAAUAAAUUUGGCUCUAUUGGUACAAUGCAAUCCUACUAUGCAGCAAUGAUGAUGGAUAAGCCCCAGGCACACAUCAGUGUGGAUGGAUUUCACAAUACUGAGCAGAGGCAGCCAGUCCCUGGAGAGUAAGGGCAAAUGAUUCCAUUCUAUGAAGUUCGCCAGUAAGAAAAGCCAAGCAAGUUGCUGUUGAAGAACACAUACGUGGAGGGGGACGUGGGAGCUCCUAAAGGAGAAUGUCCAGUUUUUACGACCUUCAUUGUUGUUUCAUUGGGAUUUUUUUACACCCAUAAUGUAUUCAUGCAUUUCUUAUCUAUUUUUGCAAACAGCAUUUUGGAGAGACUGUGAAUCUAUGUUUGGGUUUGCAAUUGGCUCACAUUGGGGUUGGAUGAGUUUGUUGCCAUCAGUUUACCAGGUUCUCUAAUUAGCAUCCAGUUAGUAAUGGAGUUUGCACUAAAAGACCUUAUCAGAAUUGGGGUAGACACCUUGGGUUAGGGUUUGGGGAAGAAUGGGUUCAAAAUGUGAGCCUGAAUCAAAAUUUGGAAUAAAUUUGGAUCUAAUGAAGCCAAGGCUAGGGUGGGGCUGGAUUUGAAGUCGAUGUUGGGCGGGUCAGCCCUGUAAUCCUAGCACUGGGACUUGCCAAGGCAAGAGGACCGCUUGAGGCCAGGAGCUCAAGACCAGCCUGGACAGUAUAGCAAGACUCUGUCUCUAUUAAAAAAAAAUACCAAAAUUA